rnacentral:rRNA from 1 species
AGCUCCAAUAGCGUAUAUUAAUUUUGUUGCAGUUAAAAAGCUCGUAGUUGGAUUUGUGGUAGUCUUGAGGGGUCUGGCAUUCGUGCUGGCACUUUUUCGAGUCGCCAUCCUUGGGUGGAAUCUGUGUGGCAUUAGGUUGUCGUGCAGGGGAUGCCCAUCGUUUACUGUGAAAAAAUUAGAGUGUUCAAAGCAGGCUUAGGCCGUUGGAUACAUUAGCAUGGAAUAAUGAGAUAGGGCCACGGCGGUCUAUUUUGUUGGUUUGCACGUUGUGGUAAUGAUUAACAGGAACGGUUGGGGGUAUUCGUAUUCAAUUGUCAGAGGUGAAAUUCUUGGAUUUGUGGAAGACGAACUACUGCGAAAGCAUUUACCAAGGAUGUUUUCAUUAAUCAAGAACGAAAGU